rnacentral:rRNA from 1 species
GACGAACGCUGGCGGCGUGCUUAACACAUGCAAGUCGAACGGAAAGGCCCUGCUUUUGUGGGGUGCUCGAGUGGCGAACGGGUGAGUAACACGUGAGUAACCUGCCCUUGACUUUGGGAUAACUUCAGGAAACUGGGGCUAAUACCGGAUAGGAGCUCCUGCUGCAUGGUGGGGGUUGGAAAGUUUCGGCGGUUGGGGAUGGACUCGCGGCUUAUCAGCUUGUUGGUGGGGUAGUGGCUUACCAAGGCUUUGACGGGUAGCCGGCCUGAGAGGGUGACCGGCCACAUUGGGACUGAGAUACGGCCCAGACUCCUACGGGGGGCAGCAGUGGGGAAUAUUGCACAAUGGGCGGAAGCCUGAUGCAGCAACGCCGCGUGCGGGAUGACGGCCUUCGGGUUGUAAACCGCUUUCGCCUGUGACGAAGCGUGAGUGACGGUAAUGGGUAAAGAAGCACCGGCUAACUACGUGCCAGCAGCCGCGGUGAUACGUAGGGUGCGAGCGUUGUCCGGAUUUAUUAGGCGUAAAGGGCUCGUAGGUGGUUGAUCGCGUCGGAAGUGUAAUCUUGGGGCUUAACCCUGAGCGUGCUUUCGAUACGGGUUGACUUGAGGAAGGUAGGGGAGAAUGGAAUUCCUGGUGGAGCGGUGGAAUGCGCAGAUAUCAGGAGGAACACCAGUGGCGAAGGCGGUUCUCUGGGCCUUUCCUGACGCUGAGGAGCGAAAGCGUGGGGAGCGAACAGGCUUAGAUACCCUGGUAGUCCACGCUGUAAACGGUGGGUACUAGGUGUGGGGUCCAUUCCACGGGUUCCGUGCCGUAGCUAACGCUUUAAGUACCCCGCCUGGGGAGUACGGCCGCAAGGCUAAAACUCAAAGGAAUUGACGGGGCCCCGCACAAGCGGCGGAGCAUGCGGAUUAAUUCGAUGCAACGCGUAGAACCUUACCUGGGUUUGACAUGGAUCGGGAGUGCUCAGAGAUGGGUGUGCCUCUUUUGGGGUCGGUUCACAGGUGGUGCAUGCCUGUCGUCAGCUCGUGUCGUGAGAUGUUGGGUUAAGUCCCGCAACGAGCGCAACCCUUGUUCACUGUUGCCAGCACGUUAUGGUGGGGACUCAGUGGAGACCGCCGGGGUCAACUCGGAGGAAGGUGGGGAUGACGUCAAGUCAUCAUGCCCCUUAUGUCCAGGGCUUCACGCAUGCUACAAUGGCUGGUACAGAGAGUGGCGAGCCUGUGAGGGUGAGCGAAUCUCGGAAAGCCGGUCUCAGCUCGGAUUGGGGUCUGCAACUCGACCUCAUGAAGUCGGAGUCGCUAGUAAUCGCAGAUCAGCAACGCUGCGGUGAAUACGCUCCCGGG